rnacentral:rRNA from 1 species
CGCAAGGGGAGCGGCAGACGGGUGAGUAACGCGUGGGAAUCUACCCUUUUCUACGGAAUAACGCAUGGAAACGUGUGCUAAUACCGUAUGAGCCCUUCGGGGGAAAGAUUUAUCGGGAAAGGAUGAGCCCGCGUUGGAUUAGCUAGUUGGUGGGGUAAAGGCCUACCAAGGCGACGAUCCAUAGCUGGUCUGAGAGGAUGAUCAGCCACAUUGGGACUGAGACACGGCCCAAACUCCUACGGGAGGCAGCAGUGGGGAAUAUUGGACAAUGGGCGCAAGCCUGAUCCAGCCAUGCCGCGUGAGUGAUGAAGGCCCUAGGG